AUUGAACGCUGGCGGCAUGCUUUACACAUGCAAGUCGAACGGUAACAGGGAGCUUGCUCCGCUGACGAGUGGCGAACGGGUGAGUAAUGCAUCGGAACGUACCCAGUCGUGGGGGGAUAACGUAGCGAAAGUUACGCUAAUACCGCAUACGUCCUGAGGGAGAAAAGCGGGGGGACCGUAAGGCCUCGCGCGAUUGGAGCGGCCGAUGUCGGAUUAGCUAGUUGGUAGGGUAAAGGCCUACCAAGGCGACGAUCCGUAGCGGGUCUGAGAGGAUGAUCCGCCACACUGGGACUGAGACACGGCCCAGACUCCUACGGGAGGCAGCAGUGGGGAAUUUUGGACAAUGGGCGAAAGCCUGAUCCAGCCAUGCCGCGUGAGUGAAGAGGGCCU
rnacentral:rRNA from 1 species